rnacentral:rRNA from 1 species
UACGUAGGGAGCGAGCGUUGUCCGGAAUUACUGGGUGUAAAGGGAGCGUAGGCGGGAACGCAAGUCAGAUGUGAAAUGCAUGGGCUUAACCCAUGAGCUGCAUUUGAAACUGCGAUUCUUGAGUGAAGUAGAGGUAAGCGGAAUUCCUGGUGUAGCGGUGAAAUGCGUAGAUAUCAGGAGGAACACCGGUGGCGAAGGCGGCUUACUGGGCUUUUACUGACGCUGAGGCUCGAAAGCGUGGGGAG